CUGAACUCUGUGUAUUACCAGCCCCUGUGCUAAUCCUCACAGCAGUCGGGAAAGGUGAGCCCUUCUGACCGGACCAGGUGGGCUUCUGCUCAGGCUCAGCCAACGGGAAGCAUCACUGGUGGAAGGUGAUUGGAAGGUCCCACAUAUGAGUGCCAUCACCUGUCUUGCUCUGCCUGACUUAUUUCACGGGGCAUAAUGCCCUCCAGGUGCAUUCACGUUGUCUGAUUUGGAAUCUUAAUGCCACGUGCAGUGUCCCCUUCACAGCAGCACCUAUGUGACCAGGGCGGCACCAUCCGUGGUCAGUCAAGUGGAUCCAUGUGCUCCCCCUCCCCCCACACCACCCCCUCUGAGAGGACGUGCUAAGAAAAGCACUUCGCCGGCUGGCUUCGGGUUUCUCCCCAGGACGCCCCAAAGCGGUCAAAGUCCUCAAAACCCAAGGCAAGUUUGGGAAAUGAUCACAGACCAGCGGAGACUUGAGAAGGCAUGACAGAGGCCGGGUGGUACCCCGGGUGGGGUCCUGGAACAGAAAAGGGGCAUCAAGGGAAAAUGAGCUAAAUCUGAGUAAUGCCUCGUGUUUGGUUGACAGCAGUCUAGUGGCUUUGGUUCCUGGGUUUUGAGAGAUGCGCUGUGGUAACGGGAGAGGGUAGCGCGAGGGGGCCCUGACUCGGGGACACAUGGGAAGUCCCCGGACUAUCACUGCAAAUUCUCUG